AUCCUUCUGUUCAUGAGCGUGAUGACUGGGUGUUCAUGCCUUAUGCAUGAGAUAUGCCACCCUCAAACCUGGUUACGACGUGGGCAUAUUACCUGUCUGACA